AUGCUAAUACCGCAUAACAACGUUGUUCGCAUGAACAACGUUUCAAAGAUGGCCUCUGGCUAUCACUUCUGGAUGGACCUGCGGUGCAUUAGCUUGUUGGUGGGGUAAUGGCCUACCAAGGCGAUGAUGCAUAGCCGAGUUGAGAGACUGAUCGGCCACAAUGGGACUGAGACACGGCCCAUACUCCUACGGGAGGCAGCAGUAGGGAAUCUUCCACAAUGGGCGCAAGCCUGAUGGAGCAACACCGCGUGAGUGAAGAAGGGUUUCGGCUCGUAAAGCUCUGUUGUUAAAGAAGAACAUGCGUGAGAGUAACUGUUCACGCAUUGACGGUAUUUAACCAGAAAGUCACGGCUAACUACGUGCCAGCAGCCGCGGUAAUACGUAGGUGGCAAGCGUUAUCCGGAUUUAUUGGGCGUAAAGAGAGUGCAGGCGGUUUACUAAGUCUGAUGUGAAAGCCUUCGGCUUAACCGGAGAAGGGCAUCGGAAACUGGCUAACUUGAGUGCAGAAGAGGGUAGUGGAACUCCAUGUGUAGCGGUGGAAUGCGUAGAUAUAUGGAAGAACACCAGUGGCGAAGGCGGCUACCUGGUCUGUAAGUGACGCUGAGACUCGAAAGCAUGGGUAGCGAACAGGAUUAGAUACCCUGGUAGUCCAUGCCGUAAACGAUGAGUGCUAGGUGUUGGAGGGUUUCCUCCCUUCAGUGCCGGAGCUAACGCAUUAAGCACUCCGCCUGGGGAGUACGACCGCAAGGUUGAAACUCAAAGGAAUUGACGGGGGCCCGCACAAGCGGUGGAGCAUGUGGUUUAAUUCGAAGCUACGCGAAGAACCUUACCAGGUCUUGACAUCUUGCGCCAACCCUAGAGAUAGGGCGUUUCCUUCGGGAACGCAAUGACAGGUGGUGCAUGGUCGUCGUCAGCUCGUGUCGUGAGAUGUUGGGUUAAGUCCCGCAACGAGCGCAACCCUUGUUACUAGUUGCCAGCAUUCAGUUGGGCACUCUAGUGAGACUGCCGGUGACAAACCGGAGGAAGGUGGGGACGACGUCAGAUCAUCAUGCCCCUUAUGACCUGGGCUACAUACGUGCUACAAUGGACGGUACAACGAGUCGCGAACUCGCGAGGGCAAGCAAAUCUCUGAAAACCGUUCUCAGUUCGGACUGCAGGCUGCAACUCGCCUGCACGAAGUCGGAAUCGCUAGUAAUCGCGGAUCAGCAUGCCGCGGUGAAUACGUUCCCGGGCCUUGCACACACCGCCCGUCA
rnacentral:rRNA from 1 species